ensembl:lncRNA
GUUUGCUGUACCAUAUUAAGACAGAAGUUCUUAUAUUCCUAUUGGGGCUUCUAUACCAGCUGCAUGUCUCUAGGGCUGGAGAGAUGAAUCAGAUCAACAAAAGAACUUGCUGCUGGAGCAUAAAGACCUGAGUUGGAUCCCCAGCAUCGGAACAAAGUAUCUGUAAUUCCAGCAAUGGAACUCCAAGUGUGAUGACAAGGAACAUGUGAAUCAGAAGACACUGGCAUUUGUAUCUGGGGUGAUACCAAGAGCCCUGGCAUUGAGGUCUUGCUCUGAAGCUGUCGGCACUGUUGAAAGGUGAUAGAAUCUUUUGGAAGUUGGUGAUAAGUAGAAGGAUGUCAGAUGAUUG